GAGGGGGUCGCGGCUGAUUAGCUAGUUGGCGGGGUAAUGGCCCACCAAGGCGAAGAUCGGUAUCCGGCCUGAGAGGGCGCACGGACACACUGGAACUGAAACACGGUCCAGACUCCUACGGGAGGCAGCAGUGGGGAAUUUUGCGCAAUGGGGGAAACCCUGACGCAGCAACGCCGCGUGGAGGAUGAAGUCCCUUGGGACGUAAACUCCUUUCGACCCGGACGAUACUGACGGUACGGGUGGAAGAAGCACCGGCUAACUCUGUGUCAGCAGCCGCGGUAAUACAGAGGGUGCGAGCGUUGUUCGGAAUUAUUGGGCGUAAAGGGCGCGUAGGCGGUCGGGUAAGUCACCUGUGAAAUCUCCUGGCUCAACUGGGAGCUUGCAGGCGAAACUGCCUGGCUGGAGUGUGGGGGAGGUGCGUGGAAUUCCCGGUGUAGCGGUGAAAUGCGUAGAUAUCGGGAGG
rnacentral:rRNA from 1 species